UCAAACUUGGUCAUUUAGAGGAAGUAAAAGUCGUAACAAGGUUUCCGUAGGUGAACCUGCGGAAGGAUCAUUAACGAAGCCAAAUUUAUUUUGGCAUUAAUUUCUUUCAUUCUGUGAACUUAUCUUUGCUUUGGGGUUUUAAUAAAAGGUAUUCCUUCUUGGAAUCUUUUUUUGGCGAACCCCAAAAUUUUAAACUCUAAACAUUUAUUUGAUUGUCUGACUGAUUAUAAAAAAAAUUAAUCAAAACUUUCAACAACGGAUCUCUUGGUUCUCGCAUCGAUGAAGAACGCAGC
rnacentral:misc_RNA from 1 species